GUGGGUAGAGCUCAGGGUAAAGCGAAUGCCUAGCAUGCAUGAUGUCCUGGGUUUAAUCCCCUGUGCUUCCA
rnacentral:tRNA from 1 species